AGUGAACGCUGGCGGUAGGCCUAACACAUGCAAGUCGAACGGCAGCACAGAGGAGCUUGCUCCUUGGGUGGCGAGUGGCGGACGGGUGAGGAAUACAUCGGAAUCUACUCUGUCGUGGGGGAUAACGUAGGGAAACUUACGCUAAUACCGCAUACGACCUACGGGUGAAAGCAGGGGACCUUCGGGCCUUGCGCGAUUGAAUGAGCCGAUGUCGGAUUAGCUAGUUGGCGGGGUAAAGGCCCACCAAGGCGACGAUCCGUAGCUGGCCUGAGAGGAUGAUCAGCCACACUGGAACUGAGACACGGUCCAGACUCCUACGGGAGGCAGCAGUGGGGAAUAUUGGACAAUGGGCGCAAGCCUGAUCCAGCCAUACCGCGUGGGUGAAGAAGGCCUUCGGGUUGUAAAGCCCUUUUGUUGGGAAAGAAAUCCAGCUGGCUAAUACCCGGUUGGGAUGACGGUACCCAAAGAAUAAGCACCGGCUAACUUCGUGCCAGCCGCCGCAGUAA
rnacentral:rRNA from 1 species